rnacentral:rRNA from 1 species
UGAGAAACUUAAAGGAAUUGACGGAGCUAGUGAGUAGUACGAGAGUCCUACGGGAGGCAGCAGGGGCUCUUUAUGACCUUGCGCUAAUAGAUGAGCCUAAGUCGGAUUAGCUAGUUGGUGGGGUAAAGGCCUACCAAGGCGACGAUCUGUAGCGGGUCUGAGAGGAUGAUCCGCCACACUGGGACUGAGACACGGCCCAGACUCCUACGGGAGGCAGCAGUGGGGAAUAUUGGACAAUGGGGGGAACCCUGAUCCAGCCAUGCCGCGUGUGUGAAGAAGGCCUUUUGGUUGUAAAGCACUUUAAGUGGGGAGGAGGCUUACCUGGUUAAUACCUGGGCUAAGUGGACGUUACCCACAGAAUAAGCACCGGCUAACUCUGUGCCAGCAGCCGCGGUAAUACAGAGGGUGCGAGCGUUAAUCGGAUUUACUGGGCGUAAAGCGCGCGUAGGUGGUUAAUUAAGUCAAAUGUGAAAUCCCCGAGCUUAACUUGGGAAUUGCAUUCGAUACUGGUUAGCUAGAGUAUGGGAGAGGAUGGUAGAAUUCCAGGUGUAGCGGUGAAAUGCGUAGAGAUCUGGAGGAAUACCGAUGGCGAAGGCAGCCAUCUGGCCUAAUACUGACACUGAGGUGCGAAAGCAUGGGGAGCAAACAGGAUUAGAUACCCUGGUAGUCCAUGCCGUAAACGAUGUCUACUAGCCGUUGGGGGAUUUGAUCCUUUAGUGGCGCAGCUAACGCGAUAAGUAGACCGCCUGGGGAGUACGGUCGCAAGACUAAAACUCAAAGG